GAUAAACGUGGACAUGUUGAAAUGGCCCCAGACAGCAUCUGAAGAGCAACCGGAGCACGCCUACCGAUUUUUCAAAAGCCUGCAUCUGCGCGUGGGCGAGAGGUGGGCCACCACGUGGUGCCGAAUGAGCCCCGUGUCGCACGGCGAGAGGAAGGAGUAGACUGUGUUUCAUGACACGCAGUUGCCGCCUUUCACCCUCGACGUGCAAGAUUCAGCCGAAAGUGGGACUCACAUGCCAGUUGUACUGAGACUGCGGUGUCUUUGAAGCAGGGACGUCAGUGAUGUCACAGAAAUCUCCGUCUGAACAGCGGCGGUCCUGACGUCUUAGCUAAUGGGUGUGUGGCCUCGAAUGUGAGAAUGGUCCCCUUCAAGCCUCCCAACAGCUAUAAUUUGUGUAAGAAGCAAAGCCUGUCCUGAGCAGAGCCUCGCCCACACCAGUCUAUUCUUCAUGGCUCCUCACAUUUCAAAGCUGUGCCUGGACCGCAUCUGGGGAUCUGGUUGGACGCAGAUUGAUUCCGCAGGUCUGGGUGGGCUUGAGGGUCCGCCUUUCUGCCUCCUGGGGAUGCCAAGCCCUCAUCCUCAGGCCUGGAGAGGGCUUACUGAGUUUGAGAGACACAGAUCACCCACUCGCCAGGCCUCCGGUGUCACGGUCAGAUCCAGCCAUACAGCCCUAAGCCAGACUCGGCUCCUGCCCUCCAAGGGUGCAGGCAAAGAGGGCACGUUUGAAGCCCAUCGUGCCGGACUGAGGAUCCAUUGUACAUAUCAGAAGCUAACACGGGAAGUGAUUAAAAGUAACAAGAUAGAAAGUAUCAGAGAAAUCGAUCCUUUUAGAAGUGAGUGGUUGCCUUUGUCUCGUGGCUGGAAAGCCCUGGAAAGAUAUUCUUCCUGGGUAAGAAUUACCGCGUAUAACAUCAAUUGUUCAUGGCAGGACCGUGUAGUAUAUUAA
ensembl:lncRNA